AAAAAGGUAAGCUAAAUAAGCUAUUAGGUUCAUACCCUAAGUAUAGAAUUAUAUUCUCCUUUUUA
rnacentral:tRNA from 5 species